AUGAGUACAAAUUUGUGGACAACGGGCAUGUCUUAAAUGAUAGCCAGGUGAAUAUAGUGAGUGAGGAGUCAAAUGAAAUUGCUAUUCUUGAGAUGCAGUUAAGUGAUUCUUCUUCUACACUCAAACAGAAAGUUGAACAAGAGUUGGCAGCUGCCAAUACACCAAUGACUAAAGUAAAUGCUGCGACAGAAGACUUAAUAGUCGAGACAUUUCCACUAACCCCUGGUUCCAUGACUACUGAUGGAAUAAGAAGUCCUGAAGGGUUGAUGGACUCACGUAAUUCACCGGAAACUGAUAUGAAAAUGUUGGAAUUGAGACAAGGCGAUGAAAAGUCUGAAUUAAAUGGUAUAGAGCCCUCGAAGAAUUUCAAUUUAUUGGACAAUAUAUUUGAGGAUGCCCCGGUAAAUCAAUUAUUAAAGAACACCUCUAACACUGGGCUUGAUAAGGAGGAGAGUGUACGAGAUAUAUCUGAAGAAAGCUACAAUCAUUAUACCCACAAAGAACGUUAUGAAUUUGAAGACCGUACCGAUUCUCAAGUUGGAGUAUCCCAUAAAAAUACCAUAACCAUCGACCAAAGCAAGAAAACAGAUGAAAUUAAGGUAUUUCUAAAUUUAUCACACUUAUUGCACUACAGUCGUCUUCGAUUAUUCGGUAUUUCUUUCUGUUUGGGGAGGGGUGGUGCAGUGAAUACGAUUUUGGUAAAAUUGUGUUUUGCAGGCACAAAAUUGAUACAAAUUGUUAUGUGUCAAUUUUGUGUUUUCUCUUUCAUCUUCAGCAAUUGGAUUAAUUAGUUUGCAUUUUCUCUGGAAAGAUUAAGACUCGCGGAUUCCAUAAAUAAUAAACAAUAGCUAGUAACUACUUUUCUGAUACUUAUUUGAGGGGAAAUUUCAAUGUAACCUUUAAAUGUAUUCUUACAGACAAACACUCAAACCAAUAACCUCAGCAAGACAUGUAAACCAUCAGAGGAAGACGAUGACCUGCUGAAAGCCGAUAAACAUAGAGUUGAUGGUCAACUUGGUGGCAACUCUCAGAGAAGCGGCACAACUGUGGAUAGGAUACAUCUGUAAGUAUAUAGAAAUUGACUUCAUUUCAACUAAUGUGCCUAUUUUACCUCCAUUCUAUUAUAGAAGUGAAAUUGGUUUGGUUAUUUACGAACACUUAAUUGUACCUUUCUAUGGUUUUCACUGCAGAGAAUCCUGGGAUGGAGCAGAUAAGAAUUCCGCAAACCGAGAACCCAACCCUCUUUUAGCUGCUUGGAAAGCUUUUGUGGAUGCUUUUGUAAAAUUUUGGUCGGAUGAAUAGUUAGUUCUUUCUCUCCUUUAGCGUUAUCGUCAGUGUUGUUUUUAACUAUCAGAACAAUUUUUCGUAGAAGUGUGUUUAGAUUUUAACUGAGCACUCAAUCUAGUUUUUAUGGAAUAUAUUGAUAUCAUAUUUGGCGGUUUUUUCAUUCGAAUUCUUUUCAACAUUCACUUCACUUAAAAAGUAUAAGUUGCUUGUUUUUUUUUUUUUUUUUUACUUUAAUUGAGUUUAACUUAUUUUGUUUACAAAUAUAAAUACUUAUUAAAUAAUAGAAAGGAUGGAGCUCUAAGUUUCUCUAGCGUCCAAUUUAUUAUAUACUAUAGUGGAUUAAAACUUUAUCCGGAAAAUAAAAUAAGUGAGUUGGAUUCAUCUUUUACAAAAUGUUGAAAUCAUUGUUUUCAAUCACUCUUGCUAUAUCAUUCGAAAUAUUUGUGAAUGUUAACAGAAAAUCAAGUAAUAAUUUAUAUGACACUUAUGGGUUUAGAUUGAGGGAAAGAGAAUAGAAAAUACAGGGAAUUAAGUACUUUUUUUUUGGUAAAAUUGAUUGAUGUUACAGAAAAAUAAAUCAUGUUAAGUGAAUGAUACAACGAAUUACAAAAUUAUCUUUAAUUUAAUUCUAUUAAGAAUACAUAUGAAUUAAAAUUAAAAAAUAACUAAUUAUUAAGCAAUUAAUUCAUAAAAUUAGAAAUAAUAUUAAUACAAUAUUUAAAAUUUAAAAUUUAAAAUUGGAGUAUAUUUAAAUAAUUAAUUGGAAAUCAUCUCCAUUUUUUUUUCUUGUACUAAUAUAAAAUGUUAAAGUAAAAUAAAAAAAAUCAAAUGAGAAAGGGCAAUUACGUAUUAAAUUUGAAAGAUGUGAAAAUAAUAAUUUUAUACUUUUAAAGGAUGAAAUUUAAAAAGAAAAUUAUUUGUAAGUUUUAGUAGAUGAAAACAAAAUAAAAUAUCAAAACUUGUUUAUUUUAGAGCAAAACCUUAUUCAUGGUUAUUAUAACAAAUAAAAAAGUUAAAAUAUAUAAUUUAGAGUUAUCUCAAAUCUAUUUAGAGGUUAAUUUUACACACUAUUCUCUAUAGUUUUAAAUUAAAUUCUAAUACUUUUAAGAAAAAAAAAAGUUAUCAAAAUAUAUCUAGGACAAGCGGUUAAUGUGUUUCACAUUCCACGACAUUCAGUGUUGCGUUUUUCUUGUUUGGGAUUAGAUCCCAGGAAUUGUGAUCAUGAGGCGUCUGAAUUGUUUGCAGGCUGGACAAAGAAAAGUUCGACAUUUAUGUUCUCGCAAUUGGGUUUAUGUUGUUGUCUUAGGAAGGUGUUAUCUUCUAAUACAUUGUUAUUUUGUAGGCGGUACGUAGCACAAAGUGAAGAACCUCGGAAGAAUAGUUUUAAAUGGAGAAAAGAGGAAGAAACGAAGCUAGGAAAGGGUUUUGAGUGAUUGAUUUGGACACCGUUUCGUAAAAUCUGAUUCGUUCUUAUUCCGUCUCAUGGUCAAUUAAAUUAGCACCAUUCCAUUUCAUAGUUUGAUUGUAGAUUCAAAAUUCAAUGUCUGACACCGUCUUCUUUCCCCAUGAAAUCCUUACGGAAAUCCUUCGCAGACUUCCGCCAAAGUCCCUUCUCAGAUUCACCACCGUCUGCAAGUCAUGGCGCUCUCUCAUCACCCACCCAUUCUUUAUCUCUCUCUACCACCGUCACUCCUCCUUUCUCCUCAUUCAGUUCAGCAACCACUUCAUCCUCCCCCACCGCCUCCACCACCCCUCCACCACCCUCCGCCUCCCCUCCUUACCCCACCAUGAUUACUCCGUCGUUUCCUUCUGCAACGGCCUUGUUUGCGUCGCCUACGGUGAGCACUGCCAAUCUGUCAUCGUCUGCAACCCGUGUAUUCGACGAUUUGUCACCCUCCCCGCUCCCCUUCAGUACCCUUGCUACUACACUUCCAGCGUUGCCUUAGGCUUUGAUUCCAGUAAAUGUGAUUACAAGGUGGUCAGGAUUUCUUGCAUGGUGGAUGAUGAAAGGUUCGGCCUUUCUGCUCCCAAGGUUGAGGUUUUCUCUCUUGCAACUGGGUCUUGGAGGACCCUUGAUCAUGGCAUUGCUCCUGUCUGCUACGUUGCUAGAGAUACUCCCCCUGGAUUUCACGAUGGGCUUGUUCACUGGGUUGCCAAACGCUACGUGGCUGGUGGAUGGUACAAUUUUAUUUUGUCCUUUCACUUUGAGGGUGAGAUGUUUCGUGAAGUUAUGCUGCCAGAGAGCUUGGCUCUUCGUACCUCUUGGGGUAUGAUUAAGGUUGUUGGGGGUGGCAAUGGGAAGACUCUUACUGUGUACGAUGUGGAUGGGGCUUCUCCAUGCUCUUGUAACAUUUGGAUGAUGAAAGAAUAUGGUGAGGUGGAAUCUUGGAACAAGGCCUUUUCUUUUCUUAUGAGCGGAUUUUGCUUGGUAGCACCGUCUUUGGGAAUGAUGAUCACUGACGUGAAAAUUCCACCGAAGGGGUUGUGUGUUACGUGCAGUGGAGAGGUGUUGCUGCUAGUGGAUGUGGCAGAAAGGAGAUGCCUGUAUUCGCUGGACAUAAAGAAGGAAAGUUUUACAGACCUUCAAAUUGAAAUAGGCGCAGGGUUUGUUUAUUGUGGUUAUUAUGCUGAGAGCUUACUUUUACUGAACAUAGCAAAUGGCGUAGUUUCUUAUUGAAGGGGUAACGACAUUCCAAUCUGAUACUUAUGCAGUGUAUGUUAUCAUUCACUUAUCACGUCAACGUUUAUUUUCCACACAUUUUGUUGCUUUCUCGGUGGGAGUUAAACCAUUCCAAGUACAAGGAGUGUAAACCAAGUCUUUAUCUUUGUUUCGUGUUUGUGGAUUCCAAUUACCCAACGGUUUACUGCGAAUACGAUACCUAUUAGUAUGUUUUGCUUGCUUACCUUAAUUUAUUUCAUCAUUAUAAUGUUUGUCUAAAUUAUGUCAGUUUGUUGUUGAGUAAUAUGAGAUUUGUCUGCCAAACUCUGUCAUUAUAUUUGUAGUCUUGAAUGGCUUGCAGUUUUGUUAUGUUUAUCAUUACAGUGAAAAUAAAAAAUGUGGAAGGUUAAGGAUUAACUAGAUUGAUAGUGAUGAUUAUCAUGACCUUACUCAGAAGGAAUAACCAGGGAGUGAAAUCUGAUGGCAAUCGUGAAACAUUGCUCAGGAGAAUUUUGUCUGUUGUCUAUCCGAAUUCCCUGACCACUAUGAAACAGUCAUGUGCAUAUUUUUCUAGUUUGAUAUUUCGUAUUCAGGGAAUGUGGAACGUGCAUUUAUGUCUGUAUAUCUGUUUAUUUAAGGACACAUAGGGUUCUUUUAACAAUUAUGGAAGUGUUCUGGUAGUCAAGCGACUGUUCCUACAACAUUGAGCAAGCUUUUGUAGUUACUUAAGAUCCUUAUAUACUUGCCUAUUAUGGUGAUACGUUGUUGACAUUUAUCAGCUAAUUACUAAACUAUGAUAAUUUUUUGUUUUGUGUGUAUUAUUUAGUGCAGAAAUAGUGUUUUAAAGAUAAUACAUUAUAUUGCUUGGCCAAAUUCCCUGAUGGGAUGUUUGUUGGAGUAUAACAUUUAGUAGAAUAAACAUGUUGGUGUGACACUUUUGAGGCGUUUUCCAUCUAGUGGACUAAUUUUUUGGAUUGGACUAUCCUCUCAUGCUUAAGUCCUAAUGAUAGGUACUCUUGUUGAGAGUUGAACUACGAAAAUGGCUACCUAUAGGAUAAAUUAAGGUGCAACAAACCAAAUAAUAGUAGGCAAUGCUUUUUAUAAACUGAAUGGUUAUUAAAUUGAUCAAGGUAUUAGUAAUAUUUUUUAUGUGAUGAUAAAUGAUUCUUGUAUUCUCUAUUUAGAUAAAAGGUAUGAUGUUUAAUAUGAAUUUAAAAUAAAAUAAAAAUGUAAAAAACUGAUCAAAUAUACAAAAUAAUAUUAAAACCUAAAUUUACAGGUUCUUAAUAUUUAAAAUGUGUAAAAGUUUAAACAAAAUGAGAAUCAUACUUAAUCUAAAACUUUCUAUAAUAUUUAUUAAUAAUAAGUUUAUAUGUAGAAUAAAAAAGAAAAUCACUAAUAUGUUAUGUUGAACUUGUUGAGAAAAAGAAGUUGAAAUUGGUAUUUAUUGUUUUCUUUUGUUGAAUUCAUUUUUCCAAUCUGACAGUUUAUGCUGGUUUAAUAUUGGUUGUGUUUCACCUAUUUUGCACAGCAACUGAAUCAGACAGGAGAAGGGUUCCUUGUUGGAAGCAGCAACUCCAGAUAGAUUUGAUAACCAUGCUAAUAGGUGAGUGAAGCUGUAAAAGAAAGAAUAUCUUUGGAAUUUCAUAUUAAGUAGAAUAAAUGCCUUUGAACUAUGCUUAAGGCUUAAAAACUCUACUGUCUAAUGAACUACUUUUUUUUUUUUUUUUAAUUUGACUAUCUUUCUGUGCUCCUAACAUGGUACCUUUUGCUGGUGCCUUAUUUUGUGUUUUGUUUCUUUAAUUAGCAUAUUUUCUUACUUUUUGUCUUACGUUUUGUAGGCUUUUAAUGUUCAAUUCGUCAUAAUCAUGUUUGUUGCUUGCAUUAAUUUUGGAAAUUUCUUUAUUAAGUCUCUUGAAUUUGAUUCUCUUGCCUAACUUCAAGAAUUUAUAUAUAUCAUUGCUUGAUAAAUAGUUAUUUUUUGCAGAAAUUUCAUCAGACAACCUUAACAGCCGGAGCAUCCUUGAGUUUCGCAGUGCCUAUUGUGUACUUGUGUGAAUUCAGGUUGUUUUAUUUUUAAAUUCCAUUUAAAAAUUUAUGGUAUUGGCAAUAAAUAUUAAUAUGAACAGUUCUGAAAUAAUUGAUCUUUUGAACUACCAAAUAUGAACCUUUUUGAAAAUGAUGGUGAGUAUUUGUUUCUUUGACCUUUAAUUUCAAAAUAGAGGGCAUUGCUUUGCAUCACUUAUAUAACUGUUCUACCUUUGUUUAACGGAUGAUUUCUCUGCUUUAUUACGCUCAACAUUUAUUCGUUCUUUCUCAUAUAGUGUUCUACAAAAACUGUAAAAUCGGGAAUUUUUACAUUUUAGAAAGUCCAUUACUCAUUUUUGUGGGUUGAUUCAAAGCUAAACGGGUUACGCAGGAGUUUUUGUAUUGGAUUUUAUUCAUACUUCGGGUUAGAUUUGCUUCACCUAAAGUUGAAUAAUGAUUUUGUUAAAAACUGAAAAGAUUAACUUAACUCUAGAUGGUUUGUAAGAUAUAAUUUGCACUUUCUGUAAGAUAAGAUUUGCACCGUGUAUUUUGAAUUGGUCAUAUUUUUAGUUAAUAUGAACCUUUCCUUUCAUAAUAUUUCUACAAACUAAGGUAUAUAUAUAUAUAUAUAUAUAUAUAUAUCGAACAUAAAACUAGACAUUAAUGAUUAGUUCAGGAUGAAACAAUAUGUUUAAUAAAUAAUAAAUAUUGUUAAGAUAUAUUUUAAUAAUGACUUUAAUAUUAGAAUUUCAUAAAACUGAUUUGUAAAAUGAUAUUUGUAUUUAUUUGUAUAUUUAAAAUUAGUAUUAUUUCUAGUAUUGUUUUUUUGAACUAACUUUUAGAAAGAGUAUUGUUGGUCUUUAAAAUUAGUGACAAUUUUCUUUUGAUGUAUGAAAUGUGUUUUAUUUCUAAAUACAUUAAGGGUGAAAAUGUUCAGAGUUUAAUUUUUGUGCGCGGUCUAAAAGAAAAUGGAAAAUAAAAUUUUAACACUAUUUUUUGACACUAUUUUGACACUGCACACGUGUCAAAAUGUGGUUGGACGAUUUCAAAUUAAAAAAGCAAACUUUGGUUUUUCUCUUCCAAAUAUACCCCUAUCUCAACUUUUUUAAUUUGAAAUCAUCCAAUCACAUCUUAACACGUGUACAGUGUCAAAAUAGUGUCAAAAGAUGGUGUUAAAAUAUCAUUUUCCAAAAAAAAUUGACGUUAAAAAAUUAAAAGGGAAGAUAAUUGUGGCUAGAAAGGUCUUGUUUUUAAAGAAAAGAAUAUAGUAUUCUGAUAUUGCACGCAAUAUUUAUUCUAAUGUUGGAAUUUGUAUUUAUUUUAUCUGUAAGUUUUAACUGAUUAAAUUGGGUGAGAAUUUAAACACCAACUUGAUCAAAUACUUGGAAUUGGGUUUGGGCCAGAUUGAAUAUGGAGCUGUCAGUUGCAUUAAGCUCCUCGCAUUCAGCAUUUUCUUCAUGCACUCAUAAUUUCUAACUGCACCUAAUUCUUCGUAAAAAUUAUUUUCGGAUUAUCUGUUUCAAAGAUUUUUCAGAACAAGCUUUUUUAAACUUUCGGAACACGUAAAAUAUAUUCUAAUUUUAUUUUUUUCCAUAAACCUGCCAAAGAAUGUAGGAGAGAAAUGAGGUGUACCAGUAACAAUGACAGUAACGUUAUGUGUUCAGGAAGGUAUUUUAAUCUUGAGUACCGUAUUAUACGUUGUUUUUCUUAAUAAAAAGUGGAAAUAUACGUAUCACAUAAGCGUAAUUAGUGUUAAAAUAACUUUUUUCUUUAAUCUCUUUAUAUUAAUAUGAGAUACAAUUAAUAAUAAUGGGACGGGAAGAAAAUACCUUUUCAUUCUCUUAUCAGUGUUAAAUAUAUCAGGAGUUGGUAUUGUUUAUAUUAUAUUAACAAAAUGUCUCUCUCAAUAGUUUUCACCAAGUUUAUAAGUUUAUUGGAUGGAAUUAUCUAAAUAAUUAUUGUUAGAAUGUAUGUAAAUAUUUGCUGUUGAAUCACUUAUGUACAAAUAUUUAAAGUUAAAUAAUUUAAAGUUUACAUAUAUAAUUGUUACGAAUAUCACACGAUUUAUUGAUCAGAUAGAUAAUUUUUUUAAUAAAUAAUUAUGAGGGAUGUCAUCUGUGUCAAAGGAAAUCAAACUCUUGGCUAUGAAAUCUUUGGGCGGUGAACUAUUUAGUAUUUGGAAUCUAAAUUAUAGAACUGCGUGUUAAAUAUGGAACAAACUGUUUACGAAAGAGACAAGGUAACAAAUAUUAAUUAAGUUCAUACACAUGAAGUUUCUAAUGUACUAAAUAUUUUGUGUUUUUUAAUAUAUUAAAGCCAUUUUCCAAAAAAACAAGUUUCAUUUCGAUAUUCAUUUUUUAAUCCAUUUACUUCUUAGGAAGAAAGAAAAUUACAAAUGAAGAAAAAAAAUCAAAGAAAUAUAAGUAUAUGCAUAAAAUCGGUAUAUCUGUAUUUUAAUAUAGAAUAAUGAUAUUUUGACACAUAAAAAUUUUGUAUUUAUUUUAGAAUGGUAAAAAUGAGUCACAACCUGCGGGUUAAUCCGGUCCACCACAGGUUCGAGCCGGAUUGGGUUUGAAAAAAAUGUAUUUUUUUUAUACGGAUCAGAUUUUAAUACGGGUUGAACUUGUGGUGGGCCAGGUUGGCCCACCAACCCACUUACCUAAUUUAAUUUUAUUAAAAUUUAAUUUUAAUUUUAAUUUUAUAAAAAAAUAUUUAUUAUUAUUUUUUUUGUUUAAAAAAAUUAUUUAAGUUCUCUAUUUUCAUAAUUUAUUAAACACGAGAGUGAAAUUUAGAGGUAAGAUUUGUUUAGAUUUGAAUUAUAAAAACUUUAUAAAAAAAAAAUAUUUAAAAAAAUUAUAAUUGAGUGAGUCAGUGAACCAACCCGUUUACCCACCAAAUGAACCGGAUUGGGUUAGCUCACUAAGUGACCAACUCGUGAUAGGUUGGACCGAGUCGGGACGGGUGGAACAUUUUGACAGCUUUAAUUUAUUUGAUAUUACUCUUUAUUACUUUUUAUUCUCUUUUUUCUUAAAAAAUAUAUAAACCUAUUUUUUUAUGACUAUUUUAUUUUUAUAUUAUAUGAUAAAUGAAUGUAAAAAUGUGCCUAGUUACCGUUAUCCUUUAAUCUAGUUUGUAUUGAACAUAAAAAAACAAACCGAAACUCAAACACGUAUCUAUUUCUAGUUACAUUAGAGGUGCAAUGAUUUAGGUGGAAAAUGGGAAAAGUAGUGGGAAGAGAAAUCAAAUUUUUAAACUGAAGAUUUUUACAUCACAAUCACCGAGAGAGGUUUGAGUAAUUGAGUUUUUCUUUUCCGAGGCAGUAUUUGUACAAUAAUAAUAAAAAUGAGUGAAUGAUUUCUGUGGUGCUGUUUUUAACUACCUUAGUUUGUAAACACUGAGUUGCUUAGCAUUGAAGUGAGUGAGAAUGAAGAAUGGCCAAAACUAACUCCAAAUUCCUGAAAGAACAUAAAGCACACAGUGUCACUUCACAAUCAUCACGUGUCAAUUAUGGCAAUAAUAUGACUCAUUUGUCAACAACCUUUUUGCUUAGAUAGAUGUUUUAGAUCGGGCUACUACAAUAUAUACCUAUACAAUAAUUCGAUCUCAAAUCCAUCCCAGGAGGCAACAAGCAUGUUGCAGACAACAUCAUUAGGAAUCAAAUUGGAGUACAAGAAAACUACAAAGACAUACCAACAAAACUCUCACCCCAAAAUCAACCAGUCAAGAAACCAAAACAUUAUUCAACAACCAUUCUUCCUUCACGAUUAUGCCUUUUUUCAUAAUAAAAUCAUUCCACUAAAUUACUUUAUUCAUUACAAUAUCAGUAAAGUUUUAUUCCAUUGUUCAAAGUUCCUUAUCAGAACCUUUUACACUGACUACAAGAUUAAAGCGAGUUAAUCUUCAUACAUAUAUUCAAUAAUCAUGAGGUGGUUCUCAUCUCACAUCAAUUGAACCACCAUGUCUCCCUCCUUUUUAAUGCUCACAUCUGGCCCCAUACUUAUGCAUCCACUUCAUUCUCUUGCUUAAUCUUUCAAACUUAGCUUCACUUUGAUGCUGCUCUUAUUCUUUUCUGUCAGAAAAAACAAAAGACCCUCCUACUUCAUUAUCUUCACAUAAUAUGGUGUGAAGUGUAUAAGCAAAAAGGGUUUUUUGUACUCAAAAUAAUACAUUGAGUUUGGCCUCAACCUUUUUUUAUUCACAAGAAAAGUAAAUAUACAAAAAAAACUCAACUUUUCUUACUAUUGGCAUACCCUUAUGUUCCAUGAUAAUCCUUUUUUUUUGGGGUCAAAAGUUGCAUCAUAAUUUGUUGCAAUGGGUUGCUCUCAUGCACCUUCACAAGACUACAGGUGGGGAAGCUUUCAUAAAUUUCCACAUAUUGGCCCAUCUUUUGCGUUUGACAGUCCUUAUCAACAAAACUUUGGGUCACCCCAAACACGUCUCAAUUUCUUUCAGAUUUUAAGACCCUCAUCUCUAUAUGCUGUAGAUUUGUCGCAACCAAGAUCGCUACUGUGUGUCUUUAUCUUACAUCAUGCAUCUUUCAAUUCAUGUUAUUUUUAGUUUUUGCAUAACAUUCAAGUAUCAUCACAUAAUAUCUCAUCUUAGCUCAUAGUAAUACCUAACACGCUAUGCUGAAUAUCCUCUUAUAGAUAAAAAUGUGAUCAGUGAAUAUAAUUUAUCUGCUCUACUGAUAGACUUGUAGCUUUUUAAGGUACAAUUGCGUCAUUGUAAUUUGACACAGCAACAAAAAGUGCUUAUUCCACAUGCAACGCAUUUGCUUACGGAAGCUAUAUAAUUCUGGUUCAAUCUAACAUCAUGAUCUCCACUGUUUACUCUAUCUGUUUAUGUUUUAUAUAUAUACUUUCUUCUUGUCUGUUUUCAUUUUUUAUUCAAUGAAUCUCACUAGACAUUUAUUAGUUUCAGUAAAACUUAAUUAAUAGUUAAAAAGUGUGAUAGGAAAAUGCAUUAUAUAGUAAAUUUCCUCUACCUAAUAAAGUGUACUUUGAAUAAGAAACUUCAAUUCUCACAUGUCAUUGUUUCUCUAAUAAAAUGCAUUACAUUUUCACUGUGAAGCAGUAUACCACAUGCAUGGUCAUGGAUUAGUUCAGAAACAUGGUGAUACUGUGUCCAUUAAUGAAAAACCUGCACUUUCCUUUUUGUGUGGCAAGUGUGGAGCAAAUUUUUGGUGACCCUGUAGAUCGAUCAUAGUGCUGUUUUCUUUGGAAUCAGCUAGGAAACAAAAGAGCAUGAUGGUUUAAGAUCAUCAUCAUCAUCAUGGACCAGCUUCGGAGCCCAUGUAAAAACAAAUUAAUUUCAAUGUUUACAACAGUAGAAAAACCAGGUUUUGUAUGCAACAACAAGCAACCCAUGUUACUGUUUUAAACGUUGUCUUAAUUAUUGCCUUUUAAUUUAAAGCUAUACACAACUUUACUCUGCAAACAUCACAUGCUAUAUAGAUUUCUUGAUUGUCAAUAUUGUACUAAACAACACCUCAUUUCACUCGUGCCAUGUAUAUAUCUUUUGUUGACUUAGUUCCUCGUGCAAUCAUAUGUAGACCCUGACAUAGAAACUUCAUUUGGACGAGGAACUGAAAAAGAAGACAAAUUUGUUAUGGUAAAUCUGUGUAGUGAAUAAGUUCGAAUUAUCAAAGAACGAAUUGCCUACACCAACUAAAGCAAGAUAAUGAAGUAACCGAGACACACAGCAUUUUUUCAGUUCAUCAUCACUUGAUUCAUUGGUAGCAGAACAAAGUAAAGUACAUCAAUAGAUGGAUCAAAAUGGUGAAUUUUUCUUGUCCUUGAUAAUAUUUCAACUUUGUUGACGUACCAAUCUCAUUUUACAAACUGAUUUUUAAGAUCGAUAAGUCUAAAGUCAAUUUAUGAUAUUAUAAUCAUUUGAAAUCUAUCUUAAGAUUUGUUAUUUGUUAAACUUAUCAUGUGACUUGUUAUUGGAUUAUAAUUAAUAUCUAGUCUUAUAUUUGAGAUGUAUAUCUCUUGAUAUGAGAUUGAAAAUCUUACGUUAACUAAAGAUAAGACAAAUUAUCAGAUUUUACACAUUCAUUUUGUAAAUUUGAAUUAGGUUUAAGAUAUAUUUCUUUAAAACCAUGCAACAUCCUAACCAAAGUUUAAUCAAAAGUUUCGUAUAAAAAGUAAGAUGAAAGAAUGAGUCAUUAAUUUAAAUCUCUCUUUUAAGAGUGUACGAUGUCUUAUAUAAAUUGAACAUUUAUGAAACAUUAGUGUGCAAGGUAUAGAUGUUUCAGGUUUACUAGCUUCUGCUAGUUGCUAUCAACAGAAGUGUUCAAUUCAUUCAUAAUGUUCUUCAACUAUCCACUGCAUUUUUAACUGAUACCAUCAACAACUGUACUGUUUUGGUUCAUUAUCUAGGCUAUAUUAAAAUGUUUGGUGCAACCAAUAUUAUAAAAGGUUUUAAUGACAAUGUUUCAAUUAAUAACUUCAAUUGCAGCCAGCUAUCUUCAUAAAUCAGUUGUUAGGAAGCACUCUUCACAAAAGCCAUCUGACAUAUCUAUUAUUUUCUAUCUGCAAAUUAUGAAUCCUUACAUGUUUAUAGCAUUAUAUAGCCAAACACGACCAAUCUUCAUUUAAUAAAUUUCAAGUACUAUCUGCUCUUGGCUCCAACCUUAACUUUUUUGGCUCCAAUCUUAAUGCCUCUCACUCUUAAUUACCCUUCAUUACAUACUGACAGCGUUUUAAAUUACAAAUGGACAAAUAACUUAAAAAUGUUUGGUCUGUGUUUUCGUUACUCUUACUGGUAAAAGCACAACAAAAAAGGUGAACUUUCAUAAUGACCUUUCAACCACAUAACAGUAAUGAAAUAAAUCACUAGCUAUCUUCUUGAAGUUGCUCAUCAUAAGAAUACUUUUACAUUAAUAACCAUUGUUAACAAUUCUCAUACUGAUAUGUAAGACGAUUUGUUUUCUCUUAAUAAUGACCAAAAUCUGUGAUUAUUUAUGUUAAUGGCAUGCCUAUUAUUAUGGAAGGACACUUGAAUUAGAAGUUUACGUUCUCUUAAAAGCAUUAAUCUAUAAAAGCAAGUUACAUACAUUAUACAUAGUUAUAUGUCUCACUAUGCUUAAACCAAGACACGGUUAUUAUGACCAACUCUGGCAGCUGAUUGAAUUGAUGCCCAAAUUUUGCUGAAUUUGACAACACCAGACCUACUGAUAUGUUUAAAAACAGAAAAAAAGAUUACUAUUUUUUUAAUCAAAAGUACAGACAACUCAGGAACUUGUUUGAUUAAAAGCACAAUGGCACAAAAAGGGGACAAGCAGCAUUCUUUUAUAAGUUACGUGUGUUGUUGAUUCUUGUAACAAUUGUAAGUAUGUAACAUCGAUUUUUACUACAUUUAUAUUCUUAAUUUUCUUGACUUUUGUCGAGGCAGUGAUGAACUUAUAUGGAAAAUUAGUAAGUUCUGGACCUGAGUCCAGGUUGUUUAUCUCUGGAAAUUAUCUAUUAGAUAUUAUAUUAAUCUUGUUCUGUAGUCAUAAAAAUAAGCAUGAAAGAUUGAACUUCAUCAGUACUUUCCAGUAAGGUGUGAAAUUGAGUUUAGCUAUUACUGGUAUAAGGAUGUUAUUGGUGAAUGUAGAAAGUUGUUUCUAACAUCUCAAGUACAACUAUAUAAAGGAUUAUCAUCGGUUCUGAUACUAGUGUUGGGUUUAUCAAGGAGGUAGUUCACUUGAGAGACACAAACACCAAUAACAUCCGAGUUAACUAUAUAAACAGUUGACACAGUUCUUUAUCCAAAACCUUAAGACAAUUAGUUAAUAAGUUUUUCAUCUUUAACUAAUAUUAUACUUUCUCAUUUCUAUCAAACGUGGAACUUAAACUCACGAUUAAAUUGAGAGACACAAACACCAGCUCAUCCAAACUUGUUUUAAAUAGAAAGAUAAGAAGAAAGAGUAUAAGCAAAUGCAAACAAAUUGAGGGGGGCUGACCCACAAUUUCUGAGGUAUGCGCAGAUGGCACAGUGCAGUUCACUGUUUGGCCCUUAAAAGUUUGAAAAUAUAGCGUGGAAUAGUUUGUAUUAGUACAAAAAAUAGAUGAAAAAGACAACAUAUCAAUUCAGAGUGAAAGUUUUGGAGUGUUCUUGAUAGCAAAAGCGCACAACAAAACAUGGAAGUGCUCCAAAAACUUAUCCUUACUUGACACAUAAAACAAAACAGCAAGCAGCACGGUUCAUUAAAUUAUUAUAUAUAUACGUAUGAGUAAAAAUGAAAAAGUUCAACGUCUUAUGAAAAGUUCGAAUUUUUAAAUAAUUAGAUUAACAUGUACCUUAAUAUUGAAAUCGUUAUUGAAGGAGUAAUUAUUAGAUGAUAAACGAAUGAGUCCAUCACUAAUCCAACAAUGGGUUAGAUUGUGUAGGUCCAUCAGGCAGGCCGACCCACAGAAAAUAAUUAUAUUAUUUGUUUUAUCAAAUUAAUUUUAGUUGAUAAUUUAUCUAAUAUCUGAAUGGUUUUUACUUCAUAUUUUUGUUUAAAUACUUAUUUUAUUAUAUUAGAUAAACUAAACUAAUACAAUAAAUUAAUAAUAACAAAAACCAGAUAAUUCGUUUGCUUAAGAAUUAUAAGAUCUUAAAUACAAAUACUGAGAAAUUUAAAUUUAAUUCUUAUAUACUGAAUGAUAAGUUUUUUAAUAAUCUUUAGCAUAGAAUGCAUUUGACAACGACGAUUAAAUUAAUUACAAAUUUAUUUAACCGGUUUGUUAACUUGUAAGUUGUUUGAAAAAUAGAUAUAUUUAUAAAAAAUAUUUUGUAGUUAUUUAGUUUCCUUCUCUUUAAGUAGUGAAAAUACAUGUUCUGCCGCCACAUAUUUUUUAAGUAUUUAUAUUAUAAUAUAAUUUAAUAAUAUAUGUAAAUUGAUUGAGUGAAUAUGUAAAAUAAUUUUUUAUUCCUUAACAAAAUUGAAUAUAUAAUUACAAAUCUGAUGAAAAAAUAAAAAAGAAGGAAAAAAAACAUAUAUAUAUAUUCAACAAAUUUCAAAAUAGCGGUUAUUCAUAAAAAGACGGUUAAGAAAGAUUAUAUUAUAAAAGGUAAAAAAAUAUGAAUUGUGUAUAAAAAGAGAGAAAUCUUCCUUAUGUAUAGGUAUAAAUAAUUUCAAUAUUUUAAUAUAUUUUUUAUUGUUCUUAUUUUUUAUUUUAAUCUUAUAUUCAUAAUUAAUUACUGCAUUAUGCUUAAUAUUUAUUAAAUUUUUUAUUUAAAUCAAAUUAGAAUUGAUGUAUAAAAUAUUUCAUAAAGUAUACAUAAUAAAAAUUGCCAAAAUAAAAUUGAAGUUAGCAAUAGUUUAUACGAACAAAUUAAAAUAAAAAUUCAAAAAAUAAAAUAUUUUUUUUUUAAAAAAAAAGGAAAAAUGUAUUAACAAAAUAAAGCUUAUAUAAGUAAAUUUUUAUACCACGUUACAUGAACUAAUCGAUUAUUUUAUUUAACAUUUCUAAUCUAAUAAACUCACUUAUCAAGACAAAUUUUAUCAUAAAUAUUAGUAUUUAGUUAAAAAAAAAUUUGAUCUUAAUUUUUUCUUAUAAUCAUUACUAUAAACCCUUAAAUUCAAAUAAUUAUAUUAAAUUAGAUACUGUCUAUUGUUUUGAUUGUUUAUGAAACCAAAGUAAAAAAAGAGUAUAUCAUAACAGUUCUUUUACAAUUCUUGUCAUAAACCUAAUUUUUUUUAUUUAUUCGAUUUAGUGUUUAGCUUUUUUUAAUUGAAAAAAAAUGUGAACAUUUUUUUGUUUUGGUUCAUAGCAAAAACUAAAAAAUUUUCUUUUUUUAACAUCAUCUUAAUAUAUCUCACUUAGAAUUAUUAUCGAUUAUCGACGAAAAUAUUCACUAUCGUAUCCCUUGCACUAAUGUUAAGGUUGUUAAAAGAUACUUUUAAAAUAAAGUAAAUAAACAUUUUAGCAAUAUGAUAAAAAAAACAUAAAACAUACCUAUAAAAUAACAAAUUUAACCCGCUUCAAUAAACUAAUACAAUUACACAAAUAGAUAAAACCACAGCAAAAGAACUGCAAAAAAGUUAUAAAUUGCACACAUUCUAUUUCAACGAGCCAUUGGAGAGAGCAAAAUUUUCUUUGGGAUUCAUUCUUUUUCCCUUGAUCCAUUCAAACCAUGGAAGUCAUCAAUUCUUACUUUGCUUCCUCCAUUUCCAUUUCCCAAGAAGAAUAUGAAUACCACUUUUCAAGGAAAAUUCAAAACUUUUGAAUUGUCAAAUUGAAGACGAUAUAACUUUUGUUAAAUAUUAAAAACAAUAUCUUCAAAAUAAUUUAACGACAUAGCUGAAGAAAUUCACAAACAAUUUAUUAACAAAAUCAUAUAUUAACCUUUGAUUAACUAAGUUAGUAACCUUUUAAUUUUCAUUUUCAUAUAAUGAGAAAAAAAAAAAGUCAAAGUUGGUGAAAUAGGUAUUCCAUAAAUUGUAAAUUGGUAGCUAAGGAGGCAAAGACUAUGCAUGGUGUAGCAUUGGUGGUUUCAACCAAAAUUGGUAACAUAACACCUCAUUGCCUGUAGUCAACCAUGCACGUAUCAUAGUCUUCCGUGAAAACCACCAAUUUAUUUUGACUAAAUCUUGGUAAAGAAAAGUUCUGCACGUGUGAUCUCGAUCCAUUCAUAAAGUUCAAAAUCAACCCAUCAUUACAUAAAUUAGGUUCGAGAAUUAACCUUUGCACCUUCUCCUAGGUUAUUCUCUUACCAUUUUAAUAUUCAUUUUUUUAAAGAAAAUCGUUCUAGUAAUUACUUUCUUACAUUGCACGCCAUAGACUUUAAACCUCUUUCAAAAUCUACCUCACGGGUCAUUGCAACUAAACUUAUAUUUUAUACCAAAUUUGGUGUGCUUGCAGCAUUGGAUCCUUGCCAAGUGUUGUCACAAGUCCAAACUCCAAAGAUAGUUGAGUUUGGUGAAAAUUGGUGACUUCUAACGUGUUUUCGUUACUUAUCCAAUUUUUAUGUUAUUGUAGUAGAAGGAACUAAAAAAUAAUAGAAAUAAAAAGUUUAAAAGUUGUUGGAAGUCUCAUAUCGACUAAAAAUAAGGUCAAUUCAUAAUAUAUAUAAGUGGGUGCAAACCUCACCUUACAAGUUUUGUGGGGUUGAGUUAGGCUCAAAGUCAUCGCUACAGUCUAUACUAGCGAUAUUUGUUGUUUGUUGGACGGAUUGUUCCACCCGUUAUUGGAUCACUCAUUAAUGCCUAGUCUCACACUCGAGAUGUUUAGUAAAUAAAUGAGUGCAAGUCUUACUUUACAAGCCGGUUUUGUGGGAUUAAACUAGGCUUAAAGUCCAUUUCUAACGAAAGUUAUAUAAAAAAAUUAAGAUUAGCAAACAUUAAAACUUAAGAUUUUAUCUUAGAAAUGGUUUUAAAAAACUCCUAUUUCAAUAAUCAUAUAUAUUUCUUUAGUUUAUUUGAUAAACCAUAAUUAGAGUUGUUGGAAAGAUAAAUCUUCUCAACCUAUUAUGGUAAAAAAAAAAUCUAAUAAUACAUUAAUAACGUUUGGUAUCUAUAGAAGUACAUGUACAAUACGAUGUCAAACUAUGUUCUAAAUAAACUAAACAUUAAAAGAUUAUGCAGUGAAAACAUUGUAUUAUGUUUAUAAAAGUUCCUUAUGGAAAGCAUAAUUUUGGUUGGAUUUCUUUGAUUUUUGGGUGCUGCAUGUCGCAACUACGUUAAUUAGUAUAUAAGAGUACUUCUAAAUAUUUAUUUAUCAUUUUCACUCACUAUUACUGUGAAACUCUCAGCAUUAUCAGUUAAAAAAUAUUAUAUAUUACCAUAACGACUUUAAGUAAAUGACAACGAGAGUGUCAUUUUUUUUAUUCUUUUAGUACAUACAUUAUUUACAUUUUAUAAAUAAACGUACCUACUAAAUAGAAAAAUAAGUGAGCUCAUUAUGCAUUUUAAAAAUAUCUAAGUACUUUUUUUCAUCCACAUUUUUUGUUCUUAGAAAAUGAUAAAGAUGAUACAGUAAUACUCUAAUUAUAAGGACAUCAAAAUUUUGUCUACUUGAUGUUGGAAAAGACAUUUGAGUUUGAACCGACAGUUACUUGUUUAACCCUAACAUAUAAUUUGAAUAGGAAAAAAUAAGUUGGACAUGAUAUAUUUGUACAUGGAAUGGUAUAUAAGGAACCCUGUAAUUACGAGAGUUUUGUGCCUUUUAUUUUAUACAUUUGGGUAAUUUUCUUUUCGUUUAUAACAUAUUUUUAUUGGCUUAUAUUAAAAAAAUACACUGCAAAUAAUUUACAUAUUGAGAUAUAUUAAAUCAUUACAAAAACAAAUUACAACAUAACUUUUACAUUAAAGCAAUGUAUUUAUUAUGAUUUUUAACUAUAUAAAAAACAAAAAAAAAAUAUCAUGAGAAAGUUUGAGCAAUAACUAUUAUGAGGCUGAUUUAAACCUAACAUAGCCUUUAUUUUUACAAAUUUAAUAUAUAAAGUGAGAUUUGUAUUAAUUUAUAUAUUAUAAAUUGAUGUUAUUUAUAGUAAACGAGAGACUGUUAACAAUAACAAAAGAUAAUGACCCGUGCGAAAUACAUUUAACAUAUUACAGUAACUAUAAUGUUUUCUUUCUGGUUCCAUGAUAUUCUCUAAAUUAAUUACCAUCUCACAAAAAGUUGAUAAUUUUAUUUUUCAUUUUGAGAAAGUAUGACCCCUGAACGUGGACAGAGAUUAUUAUUUUUUUUCCCAGAAACUUUAUAUAAAUAGGAUAGUUUGAUAUAUUUUUCACUCAUGAUUUGAAUUUUGUGUAUUUUGAAGAAGUAUAAAACAAACACCGACUACUUUAAUUAAGCAAGAUGAGUUUGUUUUGGUAAAUUUGUUGGUUUAUUGGGGUUUUUAAAUAAUAGUGUGUUUUUUGUUUUUGUUUGAAUUGUUAGCUUCAUAGGAUUCCUUUUAAGUGCCGUGACGAAAUGCACUUUAAAAUAUUGAAAACUACAGCGUGAACGUGAUUUGCUCCCGAAACUAGAUGAUACGUGGCUUACUUAAAUACACCUAUGUCACACUUUAAUCAAAGAAAACUGACAUAUGGUAUGUUCGGUUUUUCCUUCCACCACCUCAAUCAAAUUAAUUAAUUAAUUAAUAAUUAAAUCAAAAUUUGUGCAUUUAAUAGUAAUAGUAUUCAUUGCUGUCUUACAAUUGAACUUACAGUAUGAAACAAUCACUUGUCGAUUAUCAGUGUGCAUUAUUGGUGACGAGCCAAAUGUAUCUUACGAUAUUUAUAGAUCAGUAAUUUCUGCAACAACUUUUUUCUGGAUUAGGUUCUCGGGGAUAGAGCAAAACAGAGACACCGAUUUUUCAUUUAUUGUCAACAUUAAAAUAAUAUAUCUUCUGUUUUGGUGAAUAAUUUAGUUUCUUUUUAAAUGAAAUUAUGAUAAAUUAGUUGCUGUUUGGCUGUAUUCAUUUUUAUGCAGCAGGGACACAUGUACAUGACGGUUUUGUUACAAAGAUCGCCAUCUUUUGAUCUUUUGUAAGUCCCUAUACACUCUGCUGUGUCAAAAUACACAGUAUCAAAACAAAAAUUAAAUAUAGCUAUUUAAGUGCAAAUAAAAACACACAUACACAGAGAAAGUUAUGAGAAUAUAUCAGACUCGUCAAACAGCUGCAGUCUGCGGUUGUUUGCAUAUAUAGCAAAAUUUGUCUCCUUUCACUUUAGUUCCAUGCAAGUGAAACUUUAGACUUCUUCCUAUCAGCUUAUUCUUCCUAGCAAAAUCAAGUAUAUUUUACAAUUAAUUAAGUUAGGUUUAAAGUUUAUUUAUUAACUUAGUAUUAGAGUUAUGUUACACUUAAAAUAUAAAUUUGAAAAAAAAAACAUAAAAAACAUUGAAAGAUUAUAAGUAUUCUCGAAGGUUGUUCUCAUUUUACUAAAGUAGGUGGUGGGUAUAGAUGGUGUUAGAGUGUUGGAAUUGGUAAGAUAUUUAAAAUGAAGUUUCUUAGGAUACCUUUGAGAGCAAUGGAGGAGCAUGGUUAGGCUAUCGUCGUCAUCAAUUCAUGAUGGAUGGGCAUGCUUAAGCUUAUCCUAUAUCAGCCAAAACAUGAACCUUAAAUAAUGCCAAUAUUCCAGCUGGAAAACAACAUGUUGAGUGAACAAACAAGCAACAUUAUAGUCAUACAAAAUUCGCCAUCCAAUAUUAUUCACUUGUCUUCUAGCUAUAUUUCCAUUUUUAUUUUAUUUUCUCAUGUUUUUCGGUGAUAUAAACUACUGAUUGGAAUCUGCAUAAAAUAACUUGAUAAUCUUCAUGCAUGUAACUAGCUAUAUUUACAAAAGCAUAGAUAUAUAUAUCUCACAUAUUUGGUUAGAUCCUCACAUUCUACUUUCCGACGUAAAAAAGGAAAAGAAUUAUAGUGUCUAGGAGAUCUUGUGCAACACCUCAUUGUGCACGUUAUGUCCCUUGUGACGAGUAAUUAAUAAAAGAAAAAAAAAUAUAUAGUACAUGGCUUGAUUCAGAAGCUUGAGAUAAAGACAGAUUGGAAAACUGGAAAGAAAACCUUAACGCGUAUCAUGAACUCUUCUUAUGGUUUGGAUCUGCGAACUUGCUGUCGAUCUAUAUCUUAGAAACAGAAUAAAGCACGUAUGUAUUAAAAUGAAAAGGUGAUAGAAGAAACGAAAGGUCGGAAUUCUAUAUUAACUUUGACGUGAAGAGUAAAGUGGUGGUUAAGCAGGUAAAGACUAAGAAUAUUGAAGUUUUGUCUGUUUUCUCGUAAAACUCUACUAACUACUGUUUCUCUCUGUGUGUGCUUAUGUAUAUAAAAAAUAUAUAUAUAUGCAGUAAUGAAGCAGUUACCUGGGUCUUCUGCAGGGUGCAGUCACAAUCAUUGUGAAAACCUAUCUGCACGUGCGAGCCUGAGCCAUACACAUAGGGAUCAAUGACAUAACUGGAGGCAUGUACGUAUAAGUCAAAAACCAAGUACAUAUAUAAAUAUUAGUAUAGUGGGAAAAUGGUCAAAUGAGAAAAUUAUUAUGCAAUGUAAAUAACUUCAAUUUCUUUACAUAUGUAUUACUUUUCUGGACUUAUUUGAAGGAGUUCUUUUCGUAACUUUUUUUAUUUUUUUAAACCCCUUCUGAGUUACUAGUAUAUACAUACUGUAUUAUUAUUUAGUUUUGCUUUAAAGUAAAAAUACUGUAAUUAAAUAGAUGUAGAAACAGGUUAGGAAAUGAAAUCAUAAUCAUUUUAGGAGUAGGUCUUAAAACCCUGAUUACCAAGACUACCCAAAUUAAUUAAGUUAUUUCAUCCUUAUAAAGUGUUUUAAAAUAAGUAUAUAACUAGAGGUAAUACAUUAAUACGUGUCAAUAAUUAAAAAUUGUUUUCAAAGAUAAAAUUGCAUUUAUAACAAAGAUAACAUAUUGAAACAUAUAUUCAUUAAAGAUAUUAUAUAUAUAUAUAUAUAUAUAUAUAUAUAUAUAUAUAUAUUUAUUUAUAUUUUACAGAAUAAAUAAAUAUAACUCUUGCACAAGAAUUACAUCUAUUUUUGGGUGCGGGGAGUUAUCAAUCUUUGUGUAAAUCUCAAAUUAAUUCUAAUAAUGUGAUUUUUUUUCUAACAUGUUAAAAUGUUUUAUUUCUUCAAGAAAUUCGAUUAAGUAUAACACAAAGUUCUAAAAACAAAAAAUCAUAUUUGUCACAAUUAAUUUAUGGGAGAAAAAAUCAUUAAAAGAUUAUGAUUAGAAUUAUAAAAGACUUAUCUCUCUCUAUAUAUAUAUAUUUAAGUAUUUAUUUUAGCUGAACUUAUUUUCUAUGGAUUUUGAAUUUUGUUUUAAUUAAACUUCAUCCAUCAAGAAUAAAUAGGUGUUAUAGAAGAAAAAAGAGAAGUGAAAUUUUUAUUUCAUUACUUUUUAGUCUAAUGAUAUUAGGACUAAUACCAAACAUGAAUUUUUAUUACAUUAAAUUUUUAAUUAAAUUUAUGUUUUAUUUAAUCUAAAUCCAUUUACCCAAUUAAACUAAGUUUAGAUAACAAUGUUCCAUCACUCUGAUAUGCAAAAUGUGAAUAAACAAAUAAUAUAUAAAAUCGUAAAAACUUUUAAUAGUUAAAUUUAGUUUUGAAGUGCGAUCUUUUGUGAACCUUUGUAGAAUGAGAAUGUUUGUUGUGAAGUAAAAAACAGAGAAUGAUUUUGUGAAAAAUGAGAUGAUAUAUAGUGGAGAGAAAAGUGUAGAUUAGAUAAGAUAAGAAGGAAAGUAAGAUAUGUAAGUGCAGUAGGUAGGACAGAGUAUAUUGGAAUAGAAGUAGAAGAAGAAGAAGUAUGAUUAGCGGUGAAAAGGAAGGUUAUAAAUGUGCAGUAAGUAGACAAUGCACGUGGAAAGAUUCAUUUGAUGAUGGGUUGGUAUUUGGUAAACCCAAUGGAGGAGACUUAGAUUAUUAUUAUUAUUAUUAUUAUAUAUUUAGAAAUAGAGAAAAUGAGGAGUAGAUGGGCGUAUUGAAGACUCUAACAUGGUAUCCUAUGCUCAUGCUCUAUUCAUUCACUCUAAUCAUAUCACAAACAAGGCACAGAAAGAUAUGUGAUAGCUGCUCAUGUUCUUUCCAUGUGCACGCGCAUCUCUGUGGGGUGAACCAAAACCACAACAGACAAACACAUGUUAAUGCCAUUUUACAGGGGACACUGCCUAUUAUUAUAAUCUCUCUCUUCUUCCACCCAAAUUACUCUCCACUAAUCCUAAAUUAACCCAUCUCUCAAUCAUAUACCACUAUACGACAAAAUAUAUCUCAAACAUAUAUGCAUACAUUAAUUACAAUACACUCCUCAAAUUAUCAACUUUUAUGAUAUACGUCUACCUUCAACAAUAACACAUAAAUCACAUCAAGAUAUUGUACAUUCUUUGCGUUAUUUUUUCAUGCAUAUAAAACAAGUGUAAAGAUGUAGGCCAUAAAUUAAUUUAGCAAAGAAAAUUACAAUGAAUCAGAAAUCUGAUCAUGUAUAUGUAGCUAAAUGUCAAAUCUUUAUUUUGUUGCAUACGAAAACAGAUAACAGAAAGACUUUGAAUUAAUAAAUAAAACGCUGAAUUGACUAUAGUCCCUCCACCCUUUUGUAGCGUAGAACUAGACUUUUAACUCGCUUUGAUCAUGACCGGUUAGAGACGGUAAGUAAAAAAAAUAAAGGUUUGAUUCAUUUUAAUGAUCUAAUAAAAAAAAGUAAUAAAAUGAGUUUUUCUGAACUUUUUUUAUUUGACAAUUUUGGAUAGAUCGAGAUUAAAGUAUUAGAAACGAAUUGCUUUGUCUGGGUCUGUUUAUUGGGUUGGUUUGGGUUAAAAUAUUUUUAAUGUUUUCACUACAGCUAAUUAGAAAUGAAUCGAUGUGGUUUCUACCAUAAAUACAAAACACAAUCAAUAAAAGUUAAGGAUCAAAAUUUUGAAACUCCACUGUAUCUAAUAGGAAAGGUGUUGAAAUUACAAAUACGUUUUGUUAUUGUAAAGUAAUAUAAUACUAUUAUUGUUUAAGAAUCAAAGUAAGACAAUUUAAAUAUUUUUUUUCUAUUUUAAAACUUUUUUAAAGAUAAAAUUGUGAUAAAACAUAAAUUCUAAAGAGGAUAAUAUAUAUAAGAAAGGUGAUUGACUUUAACAAUAUUACUUAAUAAAUUUGGAAUUGGAACAUUCAUACCUUCUUUAGAUUGACAAUGAGAUUUUAAAAUAAAUCAUUAGUUUUUUAAAUUCUUUAUAAAAAAUGAAUUGUCAUUUCUUUAAAUAUUAAUUUUGAAUUCAUCUUUCUACCAUACUCAAUAAUUUCAUAUUGUUUAUAAAUAUGAUUUAAACAGUUUAAAUACUCAUUUGUAUUAUAUUAUUUGAGAUAUCAAUUAAAGAUAAAACUACAAUAAACUUAUAAAUUCAAAGUAAAUAAUAUAAUAGAUGAAAAAUAAUUGAUCUUGAAAAUAUUACUUGACAGACUUAGAAUUAAAAUAUCAUCAAUAAUUGAUAAUAAUAGACUAAAUCUUGAAUAAAUGGUAAUUGAUUAUAAAAAUAUUACUUGAGGGGGAACUAAAAUAAGAGGAAGGAACAAAUAUUAUUUGAAAAAUAAAAGGAUUAGACAUUUGAAGUAUGUAUUUUGAUUAAAAAGAGGCUUAUGUAUAGGUUAAUAAGCAUGGUGUGGAUAAUGAUGGAAACUCAAAAGUAAAAGAAAAACGGACAGAGUACACAGAAACACUUUGCCUAAAAACUAAGCAGAGAAAUAAAAAGGAAAACGAGUGGAGGUUGUUUACGACGCGCAUGGGAAGAGCGUGGUGACGGUACCAUGCGACAAUAGCUAUCCUUUUGCCUAUAACGUAACAUGUACGUUCCACUAUUCACUAUUCGUAAAAGCAAUGGGCCGUGACAUCCGUUUAGGAAACUCUGUUUUAUCUCCUGCACCCAACACUAUCUAACAUAUAUAAUACAAAAGGGUAAAAUUGUCCAAAAAGGUCAAACAUUUACACGCGGAGUUUUGCCAUUCGUCCUUCACCAAACUCUGUGCUAUUUCACGGAACAUAAAAAUGCCCCCGGCUGUGAAUUUUUUCAUACAAGGUACGAAGGCCAGAAAAGAAAGAAACCAGGCGAGGAGCAAACUGGUUUAUUCUGUGGUAAAUAUGGUAACGAGUCCUGGAGAUAUGAGAAUGAAGCACCAUUAUUUUAUUUUUCAUUACAAUUAUUAUUAUUAAUGUAUCCAAAUAAAGCAAUACCUCGUUAUUGUCGUAAUUAAGCUGGUUUUAGAUGGAAAGUAGUUUAUGAAAAUAUAUUCGGGAGAGGAGAAAUUAAGGAAGUAAUUAGAAGGAGUUAAGAGUUUUUAGUGUAGAAUAUUAAUUGACGAUAAAUGAGAUUAGUUAAGGGUUGGUUGAAUUUGCGUCUAGUUUGGCAACUCUCUAACUCUAGAUUCACAUGGCUAAACCAUUAAUUGUUGCAACCUAACGCAGAUAAUGAAAAAACGACAGUGGAAGAAAGUAGAAAGAGGAGUUAAAUUUACGCAAGAGUUACUGAUAAGAGAUUAAAUGAGAUGAAGUUGAGGUAAAAAAAAAAAAAAAAAAUUGUAAUAAAGUUGCGUGAGUGUGAAAUUAAAGGAGUUAGUGAUGGAGAUGGCUGCCCCAUUAGGCUUACCCCACCCCAACCAAAAACACUUAUCACUCUCUUUCUCUUCCUACCAUUCUUUACAGUCUUUCUCGCUCUAAUCCUACCCUUCUCUCUUUCUCUCUCAUCCUCACCUUCAAACCCUUCCAACGCACGCUUUCAAAGCUUUCCGUAAAGUUUUUCAACCCCGAACCCUGUCUAUAUAAACACCAACAAACGCAGUUUCACGCACUUCACGUUGAGUAAAUUUUUUUUCUCCACCAACAUCGAAACCAUGUCCACCGACUUCCACCUCCACCACGACUUGCCCAAGCUCCGAAUCGCCGCCGUCAAAAUCGACGACGUCCCCUCCGACCACCACCUCGAUGCCCUCGUCUCCUCCUCCGUCCUCACGCGAGCCGACAACCAAACCCUCGAAGAGGAAACCGUCACCGUCGCCGUCACCGUCACCGUCCCAGCCGACGCACCCACCGUCGCCGAAGAGGACGAGAGCUACCGCACCCCGACGUCGAAGGAGAGCAAAAUUCCGGCGAUCAUGAGCUGCCCGCCGGCCCCGCGGAAGCCGAAGGCCUUCGCCUCGUGCAAAAGAAAGCUUUUUGACGACUUUCAGUUCUUCGAUGUGACGAAUAAGGAGGACAUGGACGCGUUUUUCAGAUCCACUUUUCCCAAGAGGAGCUGCACCUGUACAUGAAAAACUUCAACCCAAGCUCCCUCGAACACCCACACCCUCGGACCCUGCUAAACUCCGUAAAUUACACAAUUUUUUUUUAUCCAAUUCCACUUCUUUGGUCAAUUUCUUCCUUCUUUUUCUCUCUUUUAAUUUUGGUUUUUUUAUAUGUUAUAUAUAUUUCACUUUGUAUAAGAUGUGAAAUAUUGGAUCCCCAAUCGUAUAUGUUCAUUAAUCCAAUCAACAUAGCGUUGAAUUCUCUGGAAUCCUUCAAUUUUUAGAAUCUGCAAUUCCUUUGAUUUAAUUUGACGGUUUUAUCUUUCUUGCAUACGAAUCCCAAGGGAGAGAAGCGAUGAUUUUGAGAAAUUGGGGUUGAAUUAUGGGCGGUGUGGUGUUUAAUUUGGUGGGUUUGUUGGUUGAUUGAAGAAAGUGUUUGAUUAAUUGAAUGUUAGGGAAAGUGGAAGAAGACAGGGUGGAUGAGGUGGGUGGGUAGUGUUACGUAAUGGAAUUGAUGAGUGCUAGUUGGAUAGGGUUCUGAAAUUACAUGGUAAAUUGUUACCUAUAUGCGUAUGUGGUCUGACAAAUAUGCAUGAAUCUGUACAAUAAGGUCAAGUAUUUGACACAGCUUUGGGAUUGAUGAAACAACUUUUGAUUUUGUCUGCGAUAGAGAUUGAGGAAUGGAAUAAAUAACACCAAAUGGAAGAG
rnacentral:lncRNA from 1 species